UACAUGGGGUGCAAACGUUGCUCGGAAUUAUUGGGCGUAAAGCGCGCGUAGGCGGUUAUCUAAGUCGGAUGUGAAAGCCCUCGGCUUAACUGAGGAAGUGCACCCGAAACUGGGUAGCUAGAGUACUAAAGAGGGUCGCGGAAUUCCCGGUGUAGAGGUGAAAUGCGUAGAUAUCAGGAGGAACACCGGUGGCGAAGGCGCACAUCUGGCCCGAUACUGACGCUGAGGCGCGAAAGCUAGGGGAGCAAACGGG
rnacentral:rRNA from 1 species